UACAGAGGUGCCAAGCGUUGUUCGGAUUUAUUGGGCGUAAAGGGUGCGUAGGCGGUGAUGCAAGUCGGGUGUGAAAUCCUGGAGCCUAACUCCAGAAUGCAUUCGAAAACUGCAUCGCUAGAGAUCUGGAGAGGUGACUGGAAUUCUCGGUGUAGCAAGUGAAAUGCGUAGAUAUCGAGAGAACACCAGAGGCGAAGGCGAGUCACUGGACAGAAUCUGACGCUGAGGCACGAAGCUAGGGGAGCAAACGGGA
rnacentral:rRNA from 1 species